UACGUAGGGGGCGAGCGUUGUCCGGAAUUACUGGGCGUAAAGCGUGCGCAGGCGGUUGUGCAAGACCGAUGUGAAAUCCCCGAGCUUAACUUGGGAAUUGCAUUGGUGACUGCACGGCUAGAGUGUGUCAGAGGGGGGUAGAAUUCCACGUGUAGCAGUGAAAUGCGUAGAGAUGUGGAGGAAUACCGAUGGCGAAGGCAGCCCCCUGGGAUAACACUGACGCUCAUGCACGAAAGCGUGGGGAGCAAACAGG
rnacentral:rRNA from 1 species